rnacentral:rRNA from 1 species
CACGUAGGCGGCUUUGUAAGUUAGAGGUGAAAGCCCGGGGCUCAACUCCGGAACUGCCUUUAAGACUGCAUCGCUUGAAUCCAGGAGAGGUGAGUGGAAUUCCGAGUGUAGAGGUGAAAUUCGUAGAUAUUCGGAAGAACACCAGUGGCGAAGGCGGCUCACUGGACUGGUAUUGACGCUGAGGUGCGAAAGCGUGGGGAGCAAACA